AUUGAACGCUGGCGGCAUGCCUUACACAUGCAAGUCGAACGGCAGCACGGGGGCAACCCUGGUGGCGAGUGGCGAACGGGUGAGUAAUAUAUCGGAACGUGCCCUGGAGUGGGGGAUAACGUAGCGAAAGUUACGCUAAUACCGCAUACGAUCUACGGAUGAAAAGUGGGGGAUCGCAAGACCUCAUGCUCGUGGAGCGGCCGAUAUCUGAUUAGCUAGNGGUAGGGUAAAGCCUACCAAGGCAUCGAUCAGUAGCUGGUUUGAGAGAACGACCAGCCACACUGGGACUGAGACACGGCCCAGACUCCUACGGGAGGCAGCAGUGGGGAAUUUUGGACAAUGGGCGCAAGCCUGAUCCAGCAAUGCCGCGUGUGUGAAGAAGGGCCU
rnacentral:rRNA from 1 species